UGCGUAGGGGGCAAGCGUUGUCCGGAAUCAUUGGGCGUAAAGAGCGUGUAGGCGGCCCGGUAAGUCCGCUGUGAAAGUCCAGGGCUCAACCCUGGGAUGCCGGUGGAUACUGUCGGGCUCGAGUCCGGAAGAGGAGUGUGGAAUUCCUGGUGUAGCGGUGAAAUGCGCAGAUAUCAGGAGGAACACCAAUGGCGAAGGCAGCACUCUGGGACGUGACUGACGCUGAGGAGCGAAAGCGUGGGGAGCAAACAGG
rnacentral:rRNA from 1 species